UACGUAGGGGGCUAGCGUUGUCCGGAUUUAUUGGGCGUAAAGAGCGUGUAGGCGGCCAGGUAGGUCUGCUGUGAAAACUCGAGGCUCAACCUCGAGACGUCGGCGGAAACCAUCUGGCUAGAGUCCGGAAGAGGAGAGUGGAAUUCCGUGGUGUAGCGGUGAAAUGCGCAGAUAUCAGGAAGAACACCCGUGGCGAAGGCGGCGUCUCUGGGACGGUACUGACGCUGAGACGCGAAAGCGUGGGGAGCGAACAGG
rnacentral:rRNA from 1 species